rnacentral:rRNA from 1 species
UAAUACGGAGGGUGCAAGCGUUGUUCGGAAUUACUGGGCGUAAAGGGCGCGCAGGCGGUUGUGCAAGUCAGUUGUGAAAUCCCCCGGCUUAACCGGGGAACUGCAUCUGAAACUGCAUGACUCGAGUACAGAAGAGGGAAACGGAAUUCCCGGUGUAGAGGUGAAAUUCGUAGAUAUCGGGAGGAACACCAGUGGCGAAGGCGGUUUCCUGGUCUGAUACUGACGCUGAGGCGCGAAAGCGUGGGGAGCAAACAGG